rnacentral:rRNA from 1 species
UACGAAGGGGGCAAGCGUUGUUCGGAAUUACUGGGCGUAAAGGGCUCGUAGGCGGCCAACUAAGUCGGACGUGAAAUCCCCAGGCUCAACCUGGGAACUGCGUCCGAUACUGGAUGGCUUGAAUCCGGGAGAGGGAUGCAGAAUUCCAGGUGUAGCGGUGAAAUGCGUAGAUAUCUGGAGGAACACCGGUGGCGAAGGCGGCAUCCUGGACCGGUAUUGACGCUGAGGCGCGAAAGCCAGGGGAGCAAACGGG